GCCAGCUGUGCGAUCAAACGGGAAUUGGGGAUUAUUUGUGUUUUUCAGUCAUUCUGGCCCUGUCCCGCUAAUUGUGGGGCGCCGAUCCACUUAACCAAAAUGGAUUUUAUUCACCGUAUAUCCCCUCAAAUCUUGCUGGAACAAGAAUAAAUCAAGUCAAUAAAGUAAUCCAGGAAGAAUAAAUCAAGGGGAGGUUUGCACGCACGCACGCACACACGCACGGGGAGAUCACCAUGUGAAGAUGAAGGUGGAGAGCCGGAGGGGCAGGGACGCUGCCACCAAGCUGAAGAAUGACCAAGGUCGCCAGCAAACACCAGAAGCUGGGGAGAGGCCCAAACAGAUCCUCCCUCAGCCCUGGAGGAUCCAACCUGCCAGCACCUUCAUCUCAGCCCUGUAGCCUCCAGAACUGUGGGAGGUGCCUUUCUGUCACGUGGCCCCUGGAACAGAGGAGGGGAGCAGGAACAGGUGCAGGUCCCAUCUUUGCCC